AGUCUGGUGAACCUGCAGAGGAGAGUGGAGCAGAGGCAGCAGAGGGACAGGGAGAGGCAGCUGCUCAAGGUCCAGGAGCACCUCUCUAUCAUCCAGAGCAGGAAGGCUGAGGAGGAACAGCUUUGCCUCAAAGACAGACUCAGACUGCUCACACAUGACCUCCCACAGGAGGACAUCCAGCAGCAGAAGGCGGUGGUGAAGGAGAGACUGGAGCAGCUAAGACGAGAGCGCUCCUACAUCCUGCAGUCCAAGAGAGACAAAAACACAGCCGGGUUUAAGGAGCUUCUGAUCCCCACAGGACUGCACCACACCAAAAUCAAGGAG